CGAUUCUUGGCCCCUUUCUACGAGGGCAGCAUUGGCAUUGCCCAUUGGGGCCAGGCUGAUGCAGCAUGCCGCGGGUAUGAAAGAAGCUCCGGGUGUAAGUACUUUCAGCGAGGAGGAUGCAUGUGUUAAUAACCACAGUGAUGACGUACUGCAGAAGAAGCACGGCUAACUCGUGCAGCAGCGCGGUAUACGGAGGGUGCAAGCGUAAUCGGAAUUACUGGGCGUAAAGCGCACGCAGGCGGUCUGUCAAGUCGGAUGUGAAAUCCCCGGGCUCAACCUGGGAACUGCAUUCGAAACUGGCAGGCUAGAGUCUUGUAGAGGGGGGUAGAAUUCCAGGUGUAGCGGUGAAAUGCGUAGAGAUCUGGAGGAAUACCGGUGGCGAAGGCGGCCCCCUGGACAAAGACUGACGCUCAGGUGCGAAAGCGUGGGGAGCAAACAGGAUUAGAUACCCUGGUAGUCCACGCCGUAAACGAUGUCGACUUGGAGGUUGUUCCCUUGAGGAGUGGCUUCCGGAGCUAACGCGUUAAGUCGACCGCCUGGGGAGUACGGCCGCAAGGUUAAAACUCAAAUGAAUUGACGGGGGCCCGCACAAGCGGUGGAGCAUGUGGUUUAAUUCGAUGCAACGCGAAGAACCUUACCUACUCUUGACAUCCAGAGAACUUUCCAGAGAUGGAUUGGUGCCUUCGGGAACUCUGAGACAGGUGCUGCAUGGCUGUCGUCAGCUCGUGUUGUGAAAUGUUGGGUUAAGUCCCGCAACGAGCGCAACCCUUAUCCUUUGUUGCCAGCGGUCCGGCCGGGAACUCAAAGGAGACUGCCAGUGAUAAACUGGAGGAAGGUGGGGAUGACGUCAAGUCAUCAUGGCCCUUACGAGUAGGGCUACACACGUGCUACAAUGGCGCAUACAAAGAGAAGCGAACUCGCGAGAGCAAGCGGACCUCAUAAAGUGCGUCGUAGUCCGGAUUGGAGUCUGCAACUCGACUCCAUGAAGUCGGAAUCGCUAGUAAUCGUAGAUCAGAAUGCUACGGUGAAUACGUUCCCGGGCCUUGUACACACCGCCCGUCACACCAUGGGAGUGGGAUAUGCCCGAAGUCAGUGACCCAACCGUAAGGAGGGAGCUGCCGAAGGUGGAGCCGAUGACUGGGGUGAAGUCGUAACAAGGUAACCAAGGGCGAAUCGCUCGGAAUUC
rnacentral:rRNA from 1 species